GUACUGAUGAGUAGUCCCACACUAGGACGAAACAGCUGUCCAGUAC
rnacentral:hammerhead_ribozyme from 1 species